UCUAAACAUUCUGUAACUUCAAUUUUGCUAGCUGAUUGGUUGAUUAUUCAUGACUACUGGAUUACAAAGUAGACCUUUUAAGAUUAAGUUUGAAGUGAGGCCACUAGAACCAUGAUGUGGUCACAUCAAGCAUUGAAAUCAGGCAUCAUGUUCAUUCAUUUUAGCCUUGUUUUCAUCAUGACAUGUUCUUCCAAACUAUUUUAUUACUGUUCUAAUAGCAUGCAAAAUAAAUUAAGGAAUAUCCAGUCUUCGUGUUUCUGGUAGUUACCUUUUCUGUAUGUACUAUUUUGUGCAUAGCUGCAUAUACAUAGUCAUGUCAUUUGCAUCAUGUAAUGAAGAAAGUGCUAGGAGAUACGCUUCAUGAUUUUUCUGCCUAUCAUGUUGGAUUCAGCAGACAGUUUUUCAUAAUAUAGCCAAUUUACACUUGACGUGGUUCAAGCCAAUGAACCUUUGGGUUGUUAGUUUAUUCAGUGAUACUUUGCCUUAGAACAUCUAAGUAAAAACAGAUUUCCGUCUUGGGCUCUUGGCGAAGUUGAAUGCAGGGGUAUGGAUAAGCGCAGUCAUCCCCAUCUUGAUCUUUCUUUAGCACCUCUUCCAUGUGCUAGUAAUUCCCCUCGCCAUGCUGUUGCGGCCAUGGUUGUUUCAUUUUUUUCUGUAGCGGCUACCAUUACCAACUUCUUGCCACAGUUAGCCACACCAUGCACAUCUCCAUACAUUCUCCAUUUAGUAGGAUGUACUGCUUCCAUAGAUUUAAUUUACCCAGCAAAUUUUUAAUCGGUAAUGCCUUUCAAGGAUAUUUAGAUGUUGGCUACUUGAGUUUAGACUGUCAUCAACAAAAGUAUGUUAAAUUUUGAAGCCAACCAAAGCCACUCCUGGCCUAUGUAUUAUUGGCGGACCUCAGCCAAGUUUCAAGUGCAUAUGAUAGUGACUACCGAGAAGUACCCAAGUAUUUUGGUGCUUGCUAAACUAAGUAGUUAGCAACUUUUAUGGAAAUUACCCAAGUAUUUUUAAUCAGUAAUCCGCCGACUCCCUCCUUUGAUCCGGUACACGCUGCAACACCGCCCCCCUCCCCUCCAGGAGAAAGGUGAGGUCGUCUCCCCAUUAUCUUACUUUUUUUUCUUAUACCACUGCCCAUUUGAGCUGUUAAUGUGCAUCUCUUGGUGUAUGCUUGGAGAUGUUGUACACAUCUUGGACCUGUUAAGUUCCACAUUUUCUGCUUAGGAAUUGGUAAUAGGGAUGUGAUAAUGUACGUAUACAUAAUCUGUUACAUAUUUGAUGUUAAUGGUCUAUGCUUUUUCUAAAUUUAGAGAAUGUCCAUAUAAUUCCUAAAAGAACUAGUAUUAUCUAACUGAAAAUUAAGUGUGCAAUGUAUCUGCUAUUUCAGUUUCUUGAGAUUUUUCUUGCGUGUGUGUGUGGUUACGAGUUUUGGUUGCUUUUAGAACAAAUGUUGUGCCAGAUAGCUUGGUAUUGGCUAAAAUCCCUUCAGUGCUUUUAUUCUAGUUAGUACUCUGCAUUUCUACAGUACGUAGAUCACAUUGGAUUUCCUCGUGUACUAAUGCUUUCUUGUCACAUGCUCUUCGCGACUGGCAACUCCAUUUACGUGUUAUAUGCCUUCUCAUCUUUGGAUAUAAGCUGCACUUGGUAGAUUUUGAAGGAAGAAUAAUAAGUGUCGAAUCUGAUUUUGAAGGAAGAAUAAUAAGUGCCUUGUCAUCUUUUUCUUGCAUUGUGACUGGGUUUCCCCCUUUUUUUUCUUGAGUGAUAUAUAGAAUCUGAUUGGUGAGGUGAACUGUCGAAUCUGCCCGGAAAGCUUCAACACCACCGUAAAUGACGGCAAUGGUAGGAGUGGCAGAUUGUGUAGAGGAAGAGGAUGAGAAUAAACUUGUGCUGCUCAUCCAAUCUUUGUAGAACUCUCUUGAUGUGCAAUUGUGCAGUUGUUGGGUCCUCUUUCUCUGCACUUGCACUUGCAGAAAUAUUCUUUUGUGCACUUGUAAAAUUAUUUUGAUGUGCACUUGUUAGGCCUUUAACCUUGAUGUGUAGAGGAGUCGUGGAUGAUGUAUUGUAAGUCAUGUGAUGUGUUACUGAAAUAAAAUAUACAGUUUAUUUGCAA